rnacentral:rRNA from 1 species
ACCUUCGGGCCUCUUGCCAUCGGAUGUGCCCAGAUGGGAUUAGCUAGUAGGUGGGGUAACGGCUCACCUAGGCGACGAUCCCUAGCUGGUCUGAGAGGAUGACCAGCCACACUGGAACUGAGACACGGUCCAGACUCCUACGGGAGGCAGCAGUGGGGAAUAUUGCACAAUGGGCGCAAGCCUGAUGCAGCCAUGCCGCGUGUAUGAAGAAGGCCUUCGGGUUGUAAAGUACUUUCAGCGGGGAGGAAGG